AUUGAACGCUGGCGGCAUGCCUUACACAUGCAAGUCGAACGGUAACGGGCCUUCGGGUGCCGACGAGUGGCGAACGGGUGAGUAAUGUAUCGGAACGUACCUUUCAGUGGGGAGUAACGUAGCGAAAGUUACGCUAAUACCGCAUACUCUGUGAGCAGGAAAGCAGGGGAUCGCAAGACCUUGCGCUGAUUGAGCGGCCGAUAUCAGAUUAGCUAGUUGGUGAGGUAAAGGCUCACCAAGGCGACGAUCUGUAGCGGGUCUGAGAGGAUGAUCCGCCACACUGGAACUGAGACACGGUCCAGACUCCUACGGGAGGCAGCAGUGGGGAAUUUUGGACAAUGGGGGCAACCCUGAUCCAGCCAUGCCGCGUGAGUGAAGAAGGCCUCGGUUGUAAGACGUCUUUC
rnacentral:rRNA from 1 species